GCCAAAUCCCGUUUGUGGCAUACUCUUUUUACAGCCCUACCUCCUUAGGCAUGAUAUCUGCCACACAAUUACGUCAAAAUUAAAUAAUCAGCCACAGCGCUACGAGAAAGUAAAAUCCUGUGAUUAAAACGAGUGACAAACCUUUUAAGAAGCACAGGCCCUUACGCUGACACUGUUUCUAUUUCGUUGGGGUAAGCCAGACCUGCAGUUUUUCAAAGAGCUUUGCACUGCAACAGGGGGCAGGUCACAGAAAUUAAGAGAGCUCAGCUAAAAUUCCUGUUCAGCCCCGGAUCCCUGAGGAUGGAGGUAUCAUUACUCCCCCACUUCCAGAUGAAAAACUGAGGUUCUACGGAGUAAAAAGACUUGUCCAAGCUCCUUCAUAAGAAUGUCAGGCCCUCAAGAUGAACAAGAGGAACCUGGAGACUGCCUCAUGAAAUGAAGCCUGAGCUUCUCUCCAAACAGCCUCCGGGGAACCUUAGCACAAGCAGGUUACUGAUCCUUCGUGGCGGGGAGUGGAGGGCACCUCAUCCUUGCAUGAUGGGACAUAUUCCUGCCUCUUGGGUGCCACGUUUUUCCAAGCCUCUAGGCUUCUACGCCGAUAAGUCCCACAGCUGGAAAUGCCCUUUUCUUCUCUGCUCUCUCUACCAAGGCUGCUCCCUCCUCGGUGAAGCCCUCCGAGAAGUUCCACCCACUCCCCACACCACCACACUUGGGGACCUCAAGGGUUGAUCCCCUUCCUCAUUGGACUGGGACUUCUCCAGGCAGGACCUGAGCUUACAUUUCUUUUCCUUCCCAGUACGGAGCACAGUGCCUUCAAGUAUCAAGUCGAAACAGAUACUCAUUGAGCCCCAUGCCAGAUCCACCCGGCUGGGGGCAGUAAGAAAACUUACGCAGAGUCCAAGAUACAGGUCCUGAUUUUUACCGUCAUCAGAGUCACCUCUUCUACUUGCACAAAAACCCUAAAUUAAAAAGCAACACUUACUCCAUCCAAGGUAUGGACUGAGUUUUUCAAGAUUCCCUUUUCUCCAAGCAGAUCUUCACUAUCACUUUACUCAAAAUGAAAUUAAGAUAUUUCACGUUAAGUGUACACAUACCCACAAUCCCAGUUCUCCAGCAAACUUUCUGCACUAUAUCACGUACAAACCAAAAUGCUCUGGAGUGCUUUUACUUUUCCUAUGGCUAAAAGGUCUUUGUAUCCCUUUCGUCUCGAUAUCCAGUGGUGAGAAAAGUGAUUUAUCACCUGCCACGGUAGCUACGCAGUAUUCCCACCAUAAAUCGUCCUCUGUGACAAAACACUUAUCUUCAAAAACAGAUAGCAUCAACCAUUACUGCUUUUUAUGUCAAUGUCCCUUUUAUUUAAGAAUGACUCUGUUUUCCUUAUAAAUCCUUAAACAUAUUAGUAGAAGACUCAUUCGUAGCAAAUGCCUUCAGCGAGGAGCAGUCCAGCUGAAGCGGCGCUCUCGCUUCUAAGCAAAGGCGAAAUCCCUAAGCAAGCAAGUGCCACAGGGGCUCGGCCAAAGUGCAUUUUUCAAAGACCAGUGCCACUGGGUUGAAGUCAGCUCCAGAGGGCCGCGUGCCUUUUCAAUCAAAGCCACAGCUGCCCCAGCGAGAGCCCUGCCCUGGAAAAAGGGCCGGAGGCCUCUAUCUCUAAGAGCAGGUGGUCUCCCACCUCAUCAACAGAGCUCAUCUCACUCGGUGGCCCAGAACCCAGAGAGCAGAGGCGGCACCCUGAAAGCUGACAGGGACACACACACUUCCCGAAGAGACAGGGAUGUACCAUCCCCAUCCUGCACUGAGACAGGGCAGGACGAGAAGUGGAACAGGGGCUUUUAGGUCUGGGGAAAGUGUCCCAGGCAAUUUAGUACCUAUUGUGAGCCAGGGACAACGGGACGGUUUUCGGAAAACUAAGCAGGUUUGUGUCAACAGAAUUUUGACUCAUACGGAAAAAAGAUGUCAAGAAUCGCUUCACUUAACAUCUUCCUUACACAGAGAGGCGAGCUGGAGUCAGGUCUCCAAAGGAAGUCUCUCUUUUCAAACCCGAUGAUCACAACAAUAAAAACAACACAUCCAAUCUGUUUGCUCACAGCUGUGUGUUUUCUAACUUUUGACCGAUUUCAUGGGUGGUCACAUGGAUUGUCUUCCUCGACCUCUUAUCCCUCUUUCAAACAUUUUAAUCAGUUCUUCCCGAGGAUCAAAGUCCAUGUGGUCAAACUGCGAGUUUUGCUAACUCCUAACUCCGCUGGGUGGAAAUCCAAUGCUAUGUUUUCUUCCAGGAGACUCUGGUUGAGUCGAGGAAAGAAAAGAAGUGAUGGAUCAAUUCACCACAACACUCAGAAAUAUCAUGAACUUCCCUCUGUUCCCUGGAGUGUACCUCCAGACCUCACAUGGAUGGCAGGGAAUCAAGCUCUCUGCUGAUCUCUAUGGCAACAACCCCCAUAAACACACUGUACAUUCCGGCUGUGAGAGUGCGUAUAAUUCAGCCACAGCCGAAUUAUGGCGCCCCGGUUACAGGCGCACCGG